rnacentral:ncRNA from 1 species
AAAAUGACGACGAUGAGAAGAGUAGAUAUAGGAGGUAGUAUAAGCGAGUCGGUGGUGGUGGGAGGCCGAUACGAAACCUAUAUUGAAGAACAUCUCUGAGUCGCUAACCGAAAUCCAUUUAUUGGAGAGUAGGCUUAGACGGAGCCAAACCGUUAUCUAUUGGACAGUAUUAAUUUUAGUACUGGUUAAAGUUGGUCAUUUCAUAUGACAAUGAGGGUGGCACCGCGGAAUGUAACCUUUCGUCCCUUUU